CUUCACUUACAAGAACAGGAAGUGGAAGAAAGGUGCUGAGGGAGCCACAAGGAAGAACUGUAACCUGUGGAAUAUGAAUACGUCUUGGACACUGGCAGAAGUAGGAAAUAGCCAAGGGCUCAGCAUUAUUACAGUACGUGGAAAAUUAGCCCUGGAAUACUACAAGGGAAACUGAGUUCUACCAACUUGAGAUCCCUGGCAGAGAUGUUUUUAUUACCGGGUGUGUCUAAAGAAAUAAAGGCAGUGUAUCUCAGAAAAGUGUAUUUCAACUGUCUCCUGGGCCUUGGUGUUUGCAUUAGAAGCUCCAAGCAAAGAUAAGAUAGAGAGAGACUCUGUAACUGCCAUGCACUGAGGAAGCAUUUUCUACGACAACAUGCAUUUGUCUCUCAUGGAUUGUGGUAUGUAGAUGGUGGACCAGAGAUACCAGCUGCCAGAUUGUCUCAGAAAGAAGGAAAAGUUUUAGAUGAAAAAGAAAAAAACAAACAAACAAACAAAUAUAGUUCCAGUAUUAUCUUGAGGGAAACAUGCCAGAACAUACCAGAGACUCCAUGGGAAGAAGUUGCAGAGCAGAUCAGGAAGGAGCAAGGUAUCAGCAGCGGAGAUCAACCCUUCAGAGGCUUGAAGUCCAGUGACAAGGAACCUCCAUGAAUGUACUUAAUAUUUGUCUGUGAGAGAAACAAGUUUCUCCAGAAGGACAGUAAUUCUCUUAUUAUCAGAGCUUCUCUCUGUUGUUAAACACCCACCUGUUUAUUGAUCUGGCAUUGUUCAGGUAUCUUCCUUUGAAGAGCACUUCAGAGUGUCCUAGUCCCAAGGAGUACAUUGUCCUUCCAGUAUAUCUGAUGUGACACCGAAGGGAUGGAGGAUCAAAAAUCAAUCUAUUGGUGAUGACAUUCAAUCACCACUGACUGUGGUUGAAAUCGAAAAGAGAGCUCCAAUUGGAAAAGCAAGUUUCAUGCCACAUUACCCAUAAGCCAAUUGCUUGGCGUGUAAGGACAAACUGCACAAGGAACUCUAAGAGCCACUCAGCACCAGCUCACCAACAGUUUGGGACACAUGGUGAAGAACAUUAUCUUAACAGCAUUAACAGACUUCAGCAGUGAAGAAAUAGCCACCUGAGGCCUGGAAAGGAUAUGAAAGAAGCUAUAGAACCAAAUUAUGUUGGCAACAUUGAGCUAAGGAGGAAACAAGAAAAAUAUCAGUUAGUGAAAAAUGCUGUAAGGAAAAUUAAAAUAAGAGGAGCAAGACAUCAAAUAAUUCCAAGAGCAAACACAACGCAUAUGUGGUACAAAUAUUGAACCAUGAGUUUCAGGUCUUGAUGAAGUAUGGGUCAGGAAAUGCUUGGCUGGAGUAGAAAGUGUGGCCAUUGCUCACUGCCUGUCUGUGUAGCUCGCAGAUCCAGGAACUGAAUCAAAGUGAAGGGGAACCAUGAAAAUGCAUCUUGGUACUAAGCAUCUUGCUAUAUUGAACUGAAAAAUAAGCUAAGGGAUUAAUUUAGUUCACCAGAGUGUUGGCUCAAGUUUAACAGAGACACGAGAAGAAAGUUGACAAUAUAAAUGUAACAUCAUCUGGAUCACCCUACUAAUACAGGGAGGAAGACUUAGAUGGGGGUGGUGAUACAAGGAAGACUUCUCUGAAAGGAUAAAUAAGCAGAGAACCAAAGGAUAAAGCAUCAGUAUUUAUUGGCUAGCUGAAAAGUGGUGGAAAGAUAUUUGCAAGCAGAAGAAAUGGCAUGUACAAAGUUCCUAAGGUAGGAGAGACCUUGGCAUUUAAGACAUGGAAAGAGCAUCAGAAGGGCUAGAGGAAAGUGAGCAAGGAAGAGAAUGACCUGGAAUGGGACCAGAAAGGGAGGCCUGGGAAGAUUUGACACAGACACAAGAGGAGAAGGCAAUGUCUCUCCAGAUGCAGAGAUUGCAGUGAUGUAACCAUAAGCCAAGGAAUGCCAGCAGCCAUCAACAUCUAGCAGAAGCAAGGAACGAUUCUCCCCGAGAGCCUCAGGAAGGAGUGCAGCACUGCCAACACCUGCAUUCUGUCCCUGUGAAACUGACUUUGGACUUCUGGCCUGCAGAAUUGUGAGAGAUUGAUUUCUCUUGUUUUAAACUACCAAGUUUUUGGCAAUUUGUCACAAAAACAACAGGAAACUAAUACAUGAGUUUGGAAAAUAACAAAGUUGAAUAUUUUUUCACUCAGGUAAUUCUCUCUUCCUAGAUGAAGUGACCUUUCCCUAGCAUAUACUUUCCAGCACCUCAAACUUUACCUUUUGUAACCUUCACCAUAUUUGCUUUCAUCCAUCUUGUUUACCUCUGUGUUCCAAAGUGUGUGGCAAAGUAACUGACACAGAAUAGGGGAUCAAUAAAUAUUUGUUAAAUGAUCAGAUGGCAUUCAAGGCAAGGGUC